rnacentral:miRNA from 1 species
AACCUCAUUGACCGGAAGGAAUCCCUUCUGAUUGAUGAGGAUGUUAUUCCUCAUCGACCAGAAGGAAUCCUUUCUGGUCGAUGAGGGU